UACGUAGGGGGCGAGCGUUGUCCGAAGUUACUGGGCGUAAAGCGCACGUAGGCGGAUUGUUAAGUCAGGGGUGAAAUCCUGGAGCUCAACUCCAGAACUGCCUUUGAUACUGGCGAUCUCGAGUCCGGGAGAGGUGAGUGGAACUGCGAGUGUAGAGGUGAAAUUCGUAGAUAUUCGCAAGAACACCAGUGGCGAAGGCGGCUCACUGGCCCGGUACUGACGCUGAGGUGCGAAAGCGUGGGGAGCAAACAGG
rnacentral:rRNA from 1 species